rnacentral:rRNA from 1 species
GACGAACGCUGGCGGCGUGCUUAACACAUGCAAGUCGAACGGAAAGGCCCUGCUUUUGUGGGGUGCUCGAGUGGCGAACGGGUGAGUAACACGUGAGUAACCUGCCCUUGACUUUGGGAUAACUUCAGGAAACUGGGGCUAAUACCGGAUAGGAGCUCCUGCUGCAUGGUGGGGGUUGGAAAGUUUCGGCGGUUGGGGAUGGACUCGCGGCUUAUCAGCUUGUUGGUGGGGUAGUGGCUUACCAAGGCUUUGACGGGUAGCCGGCCUGAGAGGGUGACCGGCCACAGUGGGACUGAGAUACGGCCGAGACUCCUACGGGAGGGAGCAGUGGGGAAUAGUGCACAAUGGGCGGAAGCCUGAUGCAGCAACGCCGCGUGCGGGAUGACGGCCUUCGGGUUGUAAACCGCUUUCGCCUGUGACGAAGCGUGAGUGACGGUAAUGGGUAAAGAAGCACCGGCUAACUACGUG